rnacentral:lncRNA from 1 species
GGAGUAUACUUGAAGCAUCUCUUAGGGGAGGGGAGUGUAAUUUACUCUUAAUUUUUAUAGUUGGAAUAGAAAUAAAUCAACAAUGACAAUAAAUAGAAUAAUUUGUGUUGGAUAUUCCAUAAGUUUUUUAAUCGGUUAGUGGACAAUUUGUAUCAUAAUGGAUGAGUUUUGUAGAAGUUUCUCAUAGUUUAAGGGACAUUAGGUAUUGUUUUGAAUAAAGUCAUGUAAUUCUAUUUCUUCUAUAAACUAGAUAAUUUCAUAGGUAUUUUGAAUCUUUAAUUGGCAAAUGAUGUAAUUCGGUUAGGAAGACACCUCAUGGAAGUUUUGGAAGACAUGGAAUAAAUAUUAGGAAGUUUCAAUAAAUAUUUAAAGACAUUACAAGUUAGAAAUAUUUUGUCUCAAGUCCCUCAAACAAGUCUAAGAAAGAAAACACUUAAAGAACAACAACAAAAAAAUGCAAAAUCCACACCUAGGGCUAAGGGUAUGUGCCUUGCAUUUAUCUCACGCGCCCCAUGCGCAUUGGAUAGGGACGUUUUCUCUCUGUCAGAUGCCACGUGCCCCAAACAUAGCCUCACGUAUCCCACAUUCUCUGAGCUGUGAAAAAAUAGCAUUUUCCUGUUUUCCCUUCGGGUUAGGGAAAAAGUCCAAAAUUUCAACUAACACCCUGCAAAAAAUAUGCCUAUAAACUGUGCUCAUUCCCCACAAAAAAAUAUUCAUUUAGAACUUGGAGUUUUAAGAGGAAUCCAAAUACUUGGAUCAUCAAAGAGGAAUCUCACACCUCCUCCAUUUUUUGUGUUUUAUUAUGUUUUAUUUCAGUCAGAUUAUGCAUUUUGUUACCAUGAGUAAAUAAACACUUUUAACUUUUAUUAUGAUUCUAUUAUGAAUCUAUAUUUAUCGUUUUAUUCUAUUCAUACAAGUCAUUUAUUUCGUUAUGAUGAGUUAUAUUUAAUUUACAUGUUUGAUUCAUUAAUGCACUCUUGCACUUGAGUGUGUGACAUACCUAGCCAACUGAUUGAACUUAUAUUUGAAGGUGGGAACAACAUAAGUAAUGGGCUGAAUUGUGUGUUUUUUUUUUUAAAAAAAAAAAUCCUUUAUUAAUUAAAAUAAAAUCACAAUGCAUGGAAAGAGAGCAACAUAGAGAGAAAAGAUCAAGACGAAUAUUUAUCAUGGUUCACCCAAGAAUAUGGAAUUACAUCUAGUCCC